UGCUCCGUGAAAGCUCGCCAGCUCUGC
rnacentral:piRNA from 1 species